UUUUAAAAAAUAUAUUCAAAUUUUGACAUCGUUUUAAAAUUUUGACAUAAAUUUUUAGUAUUUAAUCUUCAGUUUGAAUUUAAAUUAAUAUAUUAUAAAGAUAAAAUUGACAUAUUAAUUUAAUUAUAUUUAUAAUAUCUAUCUGAACCAAAUACCGAUAAUGGAAAUAGCUUAUUCCGAUUUUGAUUCUGGUGAAACAGAAUGAGAUAAUAAAUCAUUCUGAUUUCGUUUCUAACUUAUUCUCAUUCCGAUUCCGAUACCGAUUCGGACUUCAAACCAAACACACCCUACAAAUAGGAACUCUUCUUUCUCUCUCUCUCCUUCAUGCUAGUUCUGAAUUCGUAACUAGAGUUUCUCCAUCCCUAUUCAUUCAUGACGCAUGUUAUUUCGCCAAGUCGAGUGCCAGGGAAGCAUUAUUCAUUCAUGACGUGUGUUAUUUCGCCAAGUCGAGUGCUAGGAAAGCAUUUGUAAAUAGGUAAAGGAGAAAAAAAAUAAGGCAAGCGAGGGAGAAAAGAUUGCAAUAAUGAUAGAUUAGGUUAGUUUUAAUGGAGUAAGAAGAUGACAAUUGGAGAUUUUUUUGGAAAGACACUUUUGCACGAUUCUAAUAGUUGAGGCUUUUGGGAAGACUACUUGUGAUAGAAAAAUUGACAUUUCAUUUAUCUUCUAUUAAAAAAUAAACAGUGAGCUAACGGUAACAAAUCAGAGGAGCAAAUAUGAA
rnacentral:lncRNA from 1 species